CACUUUUUAAAGCAAUUAAUUGCUGCAUCCUUGUCUUUCAAAAUUGUGUUCAGUUUGGGAUCUAAAAACAUGGAGACAUUUUAAGAAAGCAAACUUAGCAUAUUUACUUUCUACAUGCCUCUGUGCUGUACAUAACAGACCGCAUUAGGCAGUGCAUUCGUAUCAGAGAGUUUGGCCCUGUAGGUUCUGCAGUUGUUGUUUCUUGAUUCCCAUUUCUCCUUCCCUUAAAUUAUUUUUUUUAAAAUAGGUCAUUAAUCUUUUGCUUGGUUUCUCAAAUCAUUUGAGACUUAUGGGAGGUUUGGUUUUUUUGCUUUUCUCCAUAGUGUCUUUAUGGAGUGUUUGUCCAGUUGAGAAGUAUGAGGCUUGUUUCUGUUUACGAGGUGGGAUUAUUUUUUGGUUUUUUUUUUUCUGUAAGUUUUUUUGUUUUUCAAAUUAAAUCUUUUUUAAGAAUGUGUCUGUCAAAAUCAGUCUUGUAAAUGGCCCUGAUACUCUGCCAUGGUGGGAAAGAAA